GACCACAGUCCAACAUUCAGCCAUCCACAUGGAUGUUGGUCCAGGAUCUCCUGAAGCAGAUGGUCCUCCUUCUGACAUAUCAUCAGAAGGUCAAAAGCAGCCUAGUAGGACCUCCAAAUACCUACGUCAUCCACCCAACUUUUGUCACAAGAAAUAUAGAGAACUUCAUAACAUUGGAAGGAUGAAGAUUGAGACUUGGGAAAUGACAGUAUUUUGUGACUAUUGAGCAGCAGGAGGUGAGAAGCACAGCAUCUGUGACACGUAGGAAGUAUUUGGUAAAGAACCAUCAAAGCUGAAGACAGCCCCAGCUGCCCUGGAAAACCAUCACAGCAUCUGGGAGCUCACCCCAAACAUCCCUUCAUCUUUGCAUCACAUCCUCCAAAAUCAAAACCGUGGGCAAAAGCAUAUGAUUGGCCAAACCAGGUUCAGUGGUCUCUGCUCUGGCUGCCAGGUGUGCUGAGAGAAGAAAGGUCUCACCUGCAGAUUCCACUGCAGCAGGUCAGCCACUCCUGCAAGACUGUGCUCGUAUCUGCCAGAGGGAAUCCAGAGGAGAGAUGGUGAAGGUUCUAGAAAAUGAUCACGGAAAUGGCUGGAGGAAAAGUGGAUGAGAAAGAAGCAGCUAAGAGAACAGAUUGCAGCUGCCCCCCAAAUACAUCAGAAAUUCUUGUGAGAAAAAGAAGGAAGUAUUUUCUGGGUAUCCCUGGUGGCAGAACUAGGAUCAUUGGCAGAAGUGACGGGGCCUGUGGGCCCUGUAGGUGGGGCUAUAUAAAUGCAAUCUCUUCUCCUUAAUCCAUCAGUGAGGGGUGCAGCUCAAAGUAAUAUAAGCUCCCUUUCAACACCUAGCUUUUUUGAGAUUCUAUUACUUUCCUAAGGCAGUUUUUUUCCUAUCAGAUAUUAAAGUCUUUGAAAUUAAGCUCAUUAUAAAGUCUCAGAGAGGAGCGACCCCGACUUACACUCUCUGUGGUCUCCACAGUGCCUAGAACAAGGAAAAAUACACACAAAGUAUUGAAUCAA